GAGGGUAUAGCUCGGUGGUAGCGUGCAUUCCUAGUGCGCAUGAGGUCCCGGGUUCAAUCCCCAGUACCUCCA
rfam:Camelus ferus unplaced genomic scaffold scaffold331, whole genome shotgun sequence.